GGCCUCUUGUUUAUAUAUGAGGUCUGACCUGCCCGGUGAAAUUAUUUUAACGGCCGCAGUAUUUUGACUGUGCAAAGGUAGCAUAAUCAUUAGUCUUUUAAUAGGGGGCUGGAAUGAAGGGUUUGACGAGGUGUUAACUGUCUCAUUAGAUUUGUUAUUAAAAUUUAACUUUUCAGUUAAAAGGCUGAAAUUUUAUUGGAAGACGAGAAGACCCUAUAGAGCUUUAUAAUUGAAGGUUUAAUUAUUAUUUGUUUAUUAUUUUUUAUUAUUUCUUUAAUUAUUUUGUUGGGGUGACAAAAAUAUAUAAUUAACUUUUUUAUUUAAUUAACAUUGAUUAAUGAAUAUUAGAUCCAAUCUUAUUGAUUGUUAGAUUAAGUUACC
rnacentral:rRNA from 1 species